rnacentral:rRNA from 1 species
AUUGAACGCUGGCGGCAGGCCUAACACAUGCAAGUCGAGCGGAUGAAGGGAGCUUGCUCCUGGAUUCAGCGGCGGACGGGUGAGUAAUGCCUAGGAAUCUGCCUGGUAGUGGGGGAUAACGUCCGGAAACGGGCGCUAAUACCGCAUACGUCCUGAGGGAGAAAGUGGGGGAUCUUCGGACCUCACGCUAUCAGAUGAGCCUAGGUCGGAUUAGCUAGUUGGUGGGGUAAAGGCCUGCCAAGGCGACGAUCCGUAACUGGUCUGAGAGGAUGAUCAGUCACACUGGAACUGAGACACGGUCCAGACUCCUACGGGAGGCAGCAGUGGGGAAUAUUGGACAAUGGGCGAAAGCCUGAUCCAGCCAUGCCGCGUGUGUGAAGAAGGUCUUCGGAUUGUAAAGCACUUUAAGUUGGGAGGAAGGGCAGUAAGUUAAUACCUUGCUGUUUUGACGUUAUCAACAGAAUAAGCACCGGCUAACUUCGUG